GUGUCAGCAGCCGCGGUAAUACAGAGGCCUCGAGCGUUAGGCGGAAUCACUGGGCUUAAAGCGUGUGUAGGUGGAUGCCUAAGUGUUUUGUGAAAUCCCACGGCUUAACCGUGGAAUUGCUUGACAUACUGGGUGUCUUGAGCCACUCAGGGGCUACCGGAACUAACGGUGGAGCGGUGAAAUGCGUAGAUAUCGUUAGGAACGCCAAUGGUGAAAACAGGUAGCUGGGGGUGUGCUGACACUGAGACACGAAAGCCAGGGGAGCAAACGGGAUUAGAUACCCUCGUAGUCC
rnacentral:rRNA from 1 species